rnacentral:rRNA from 1 species
GACGAACGCUGGCGGCGUGCCUAAUACAUGCAAGUAGAACGCUGAAGAGAGGAGCUUGCUCUUCUUGGAUGAGUUGCGAACGGGUGAGUAACGCGUAGGUAACCUGCCUUGUAGCGGGGGAUAACUAUUGGAAACGAUAGCUAAUACCGCAUAACAAUGGAUGACACAUGUCAUUUAUUUGAAAGGGGCAAUUGCUCCACUACAAGAUGGACCUGCGUUGUAUUAGCUAGUAGGUGAGGUAAUGGCUCACCUAGGCGACGAUACAUAGCCGACCUGAGAGGGUGAUCGGCCACACUGGGACUGAGACACGGCCCAGACCCCUACGGGAGGCAGCAGUAGGGAAUCUUCGGCAAUGGGGGCAACCCUGACCGAGCAACGCCGCGUGAGUGAAGAAGGUUUUCGGAUCGUAAAGCUCUGUUGUAAGUCAAGAACGGGUGUGAGAGUGGAAAGUUCACACUGUGACGGUAGCUGACCAGAAAGGGACGGCUAACUACGUG